UUGUAAGAACAAGAGCAGAUAGUUGUAAGAACACGCACUCAUAGUUGUAAAAACAUUUCUACACAAGUACUACGCCACAACACGACGCGUCAUAAUUUCUUGCUUUUUUUUCUUUCAACUUUUUUAUUUCUAACUUAAAGAAAAUGCAAACUUUGCCCGAAUUUUGCUACUUAAAAUGCCUUAGCGAUAAAGUAAAUGUUACUAAAAUUAUUAACCGAAAUAUAACAAAACUAAAGCUAGAUGGAUUUAUCGAAUUGGAUCGUGAGAUAGAGGAUUUUACGAAAUUAAGAAAUUCAAUUGUUAAUGAACAAUAUAAAGGGUUGACAGAAAAAUUAUUUCAAGCACACAAAGAAUAUUUAUUUUAUUUUGAUACUUUUUUAAAAAAAAAAACUAUUAAAAGAUGAAAAUAAAGUAUUAUAUACUAAUGAUUGUUUUGAUAGAACAAAAAAGGUUGAAUACAAUUUUGAAAACGAAAUAGUUAUUGUUAUAUAUAAUAUAGGUUUUAUUACUACAGCUAUAUUAAAAUCUAAAAAAAAAGACAAGGAUGUAAAAUUAUUAAAUAAAUUGUCACAAGAAGCAAUAAAUAUUUUUAAUUACUUAUUCCAAAGUAUUAUUAAUGAAACUUACAAUGACUUAAGUGACAUAAAUUGUUUAAGUUGUUAUGUAUUUUUAAAUUUAUCAUUAGCUUAUCAUGAACAUUUAUUUUAUAAUACAGCUUUGGCAAAAAAAUAUAAAAGAAAUUUAUUAGCAAAAAUAUCAUAUAAUAUAUAUAGUUAUUUUAAUAAUAUGUUAAAUUGUUUAGAUGGUAAAAAAUUAGAUGUAUUUACAAAAAUGGAUGCAUUUGUUAAUGCAAAAAAUAAUCUUAUAUUAACUCUUCGAAAUAGUAAUAGUCUUCUUUAUAACUUUAUAUAUGUAAAUAAAUUAAUUUUUUUAAGUAUUACCAAUUAUCAAACAACUUUAAAAUACUGUCAAUUAAACCCAAAUAGUGAAGAAGUAGUAAUACAAAAAUAUGAAGAAGAAAAAAUAGGAGAAAUUAUAUCUAGAUUACAAUUUAGUACAGAAAAUAUAAAGAAAGCAGAAGAUUUAAGUAAAAAAUAUAAUUUACAUAUUAAUGCUGAAAUGUUGAAACAAAAAAUAAACAAUGCUUUAGUUUUUUUUGAAAAAGAUAAUAAAAAUAUAUAUUUUGAGUCAAUACCAGAAUAUAGUACCUUAGACAGUUUAAAAGGAACAGAAAUUGUAAAAAUACCAGAUCCUAAUAUAUCAACUAUUUAUUUGAAAAAAGAAAUCAGUAAUAAUUUAAAAUUAUUAUUUAAUGAAAAAGCAAAAAAUAUAUUUGACGAAUAUAAUACAGAGGCUUGUAAAGUACAUGAUUUAUAUGAAAAACAUCUUAGCAGUUUAAAAGAUCAAUAUAAAUUAAUUAAUUUAUCUUAUCGAAAAAAUAUAUUUACAAUUCUUAAUAAUGUACUUUUAAAUAUAUAUAAUACAUUAAAACAAUCAUAUAAUCCUACUAUAUAUGAUAAAAAUUUACAUUUUUUAAUGGAUGUUGAAAAAAAUUUAAAUUUAACACUAAACCAAAUCGAAACAAGUUUAAACACAGAAAAUUCUAAUCACUUGAAUUUCCAAAAAAUGUAUACCAAUAUAGGCGUUAACCAAGACUCGUUAAAUUCUUAUAAAAAAUAUGUUUACCAUUUAAAUAACUUUAAAAAAAUAUUAACCGAAAUAACAACUAAUAUAGUUGAAUUUAAAAGUUUUCUUGAAAAUAAUUAUUAUUAUUUACAACUAUGUGAAAUGAAUGUUUCUAAUUUUUUUAAACAUAUGAUAGACGAACUUAACUCCAAUUCAAAUACAUGUGUUGAAUCCUUUGAUAGCGAUUAUACAUUUUAUAAGAACUUAUUAUCAGAAGAAAAAGAAAAAGAAAACGAAGAAGAAACAAAAGAAGAAACAAAAAAAAUGAAAAAUAAUACAUCAUCAACAACAACAGCAGCAGAAGCAACAACAACAGCAGCAGCAACAACAUAUAUGAACGAACAAAAAGUAAUACUACCAGCUUCACCACCACCAUCACUUACCAAUAAUAUUCCUAAAUUAACAUAUUCUAACUUUCACAAAUUUUUAAAAAAAAACAAUAUAUCAGUUACUGCGUCAAGUAGUAUUAAUAAUAGUAGUAAUAUAAAAUAUUUUGAAAUUUUAAAAAAUUAUAUAAAUAUACAUUCAGAAGAAAAAUUAUAUUUUACAAUAAAUGCUAUUUACUUUUCUAUGAAUAUCCAAUUAGAACAAUUUUCAAACGACCUUGCAGAGAUUAAAGGAUAUAUGCAAAAUUCAUUUUUAAAUUUAAUAACGGAAGAGGAAGAUGGUGAAAGGUUAAACACAUUAUAUGAAAAACAAAAGGAAAUGUUAGAUUUAAAAAAAAAAAAAUUAGAAGAAAAUGUAUCUGCUUUUGAAAGUAAUCUGCACAAAAUUUAUGAAUACUAUCAUGAAUACAAUAAGCUAGAUCAAUUCGAAUCAUUCGAUGUAAGUUUAAGCAAAAGAAAAAAAUUACAAUUUUUUUUAAUUUUCUUUUUUUAUGUGCUGAUCUCAAUGAGCAUUAGUUUUUGGACUCGAAGAAAUGU
ensembl:lncRNA